rnacentral:tRNA from 1 species
UGGCUCAGUUGGUAGAGCAUGUGACUCUUGAUCUCAGGGUCGUGAGUUCAAGCCCCAC